rnacentral:rRNA from 1 species
GAAGAGAACUGGAAAGUUCCACCGUAGAAGGUAAUAGUCCUGUAAGUGAAACGAGAAGACCACGAGUUAUGAUCCAGAGUACCACGAGACACGUGAAACCUUGUGGGAAGCAGGGAGGACCACCUCCCAAGGCUAAAUACUACCUGAUGACCGAUAGUGAAGCAGUACCGUGAGGGAAAGGUGAAAAGAACCCCGGGAGGGGAGUGAAAUAGAACCUGAAACCGUGUGCCUACAACCGCUCAGAGCCCCUUAUGAGGGUGAUGAGGUGCUUUUUGUAGAACGAGCCAACGAGUUACGGUAUGUAGCAAGGUUAAGUACUUAAGGUACGGAGCCGAAGGGAAACCGAGUCUGAAUAGGGCGACUAGUUGCAUGCCGUAGACCCGAAACCGGGUGACCUAUCCAUGGCCAGGUUGAAGCGAGGGUAAAACCUCGUGGAGGACCGAACCACGUUGCUGUUGAAAAAGCAUGGGAUGAGCUGUGGAUAGCGGAGAAAUUCCAAUCGAACCCGGAGAUAGCUGGUUCUCUCCGAAAUAGCUUUAGGGCUAGCGUCGAGUAUGAGUAGUGGAGGUAGAGCACUGAAUGGGCUAGGGGGCAUAGCGCUUACCGAACCUUAUCAAACUCCGAAUGCCACAUACUUUGAGCUCGGCAGUCAGACUACGAAUGAUAAGAUCCGUGGUCAAAAGGGAAACAGCCCAGAUCGUCAGCUAAGGUCCCAAAGUGUAAGUUAAGUGGGAAAGGAUGUGAGAUUUCUAAGACAACUAGGAUGUUGGCUUAGAAGCAGCCAUUCAUUAAAAGAGUGCGUAAUAGCUCACUAGUCGAGAGAUCUUGCGCCGAAAAUGUAACGGGGCUAAACUUACC